UACGGGGGGGGCAAGCGUUGUUCGGAAUUACUGGGCGUAAAGGGCGCGUAGGUGGCCAACUAAGUCAGACGUGAAAUCCCUCGGCUUAACCGGGGAACUGCGUCUGAUACUGGAUGGCUUGAGUUUGGGAGAGGGACGCGGAAUUCCAGGUGUAGCGGUGAAAUGCGCAGAUAUCAGGAGGAGCACCCGUGGCGAAAGCGGCUCUCUGGGACGGUACUGACGCUGAGACGCGAAAGCGUGGGGAGCAAACAGG
rnacentral:rRNA from 1 species